rnacentral:lncRNA from 1 species
ACUGAUGACUAGGGCUGUAGAACCCUUGGUUAUGUAUGAGACACAGACUCUUACCCUCAUUACCUAACCUUAAGUCACAUUGAGGUCUUGCCCUCCAGGUGUUUAGGAAAAGGAGUCUCUUGGCAGCCCUUAUGUAGGCCCUAGCACCCUGUCAUGCCUCUUCAACCACGUGUGUAACUCUCCAAGAGAGUUGUAUUGCCUGGGGAAAUGAGUCGGUACUAGAAAGACAUCGGUGAGACAUUUGCCUUGGACUCGCCGCUGUGCGGCUGGCUAAUCUCUUCAAGCCACCAAAGGGGCUUCUCAUACCUCCAGUUAGAUCAGACUUGACAAGAACGGAAGCAUAUGGAAAUCAAUGAGCAGGCGCUUUUUGUAAGUGCUUCUGAGAUAAUUACAGUUUGAAAGACUUCCGAAAUUAGAAUAUUUGACAGCAUAGUUCCUUGAAGGGGGCAACUUAGAAGACCAUUUUCAGAAAGGAUUUGUAGAGAAUCUGUGAACAAGCAGGUUUGCGGCCUGAGUGGGGAACCUGCUUUCAGAUUAAACUGCCCAGCCAGACACAGAGUACCCCAGACUUGGUGUGCUUGCUAGAGUCCAUAAAAAUCAGUGCUUGUUUUAGCAAAUACUCCCCACACCCAGAUACGGGGUAAGAGAAGAGUAGAGGAAAGUCAGGUGCUUUUCUCUGUGUGUGCGUGCGUGUGUGCGUGUGUGCGUGCGUGCGUGCGUGCGUGCGUGUGUGUGUGUGCGCGUGUGCGCGAGUGAUUGUGUGUUGGUGUGCGUGCAUAUAUGAGGGCUAAGGUGCAUGAUUUUUUCUUUCUCAAGGAUCAUGGCAGGAUCACAGAACUCUUAUCCAAGUGAGAUCCAGGUCUCUGAAUAUCUUUUUGUAAAUAAUAAUUAAAAGCUCCUCACCAAAUUCAAGCUUGUAUAUUAUAUUUUCUUUCAAUGUUUUUAAAUUUAAGUUUUAUUGUUUUGUAUGUAAAUAUGUGGACCCAGGAACUGUUAUUAAUGAGCAAAAAGUUACUGUUCAGGGCAGUGAUUCUGUUUAAUAACCAGACAAAAAUGUAGACGAGCUUUUUAAAGCCAUAUAGUUUUAACUCUGUACAGUAGGUACCGGCCUGUACUAUUGUAACAAUAACUCUAGCAAUGUAUAGUGUAUCUAUAUAGUUUGGAGUGCCUUCGCUUCCAUGUUUUUGGGUUUCUUGUUUUGUUUUGUUUUUUAAUUUCCUUUAUCCGUGUGUCCCUGUGGCCCCACUCCCUCUGAAGUAACAACAGAACAGCACCUUUGCCUACUCCACAGUUCCCCUGGGGAGAGGAACCCCUGUUGGAAAUCUCACUUCAUUCUGGCCUCGCCUUUGUUUUGGUUCUGGGUGUGUCUGUCUCCUUGGUAACGGUGACAUCCAUCCGUUUGUCUGUUCAGGGACUUGGUUGGGUGCUGGGGGGUCCUAGAGCUGGAGGGUGUCAGAUAGAUUGGAUUUUGCUCGUCUUUUCUCCCAGCCCUAAGGUGGAUCGUAAGCAGAUUCUGGGAGCCCCCGUGCUCACUCCCUCCUUACCUACUUCCCUCCCAAACGAGAGAGAAAGAUUGGUUUUAUUUUUUAAAAAAUAAAUCACUGUCCUGGUGGCGCUUGCGUGCCCCGGUGACAUUGUUAGUAGUUACUGCAGAGGUGCUGUGCAGACGAGGGCUGUCGAGUGGACUCUGAGCCCGUUCCUCCCUCCUACCAUCUUGCUGGAUGAAAUAGCAUUUUAAUUUCUUUUUUAAAAAUCAGUUUCUUAACUGUGCCGAAUAUGGCCUUUUUGAAAGGAAAAAAAGUAUUCGUUUUGCCACCAACUACUUCAUGUGUCUUGAAUAGAAGAAGAAAAACAAAAACACAAAAAUCACUACCAAACCAAAGGUUGCUAUUUUUGAGGCAUCACGAGCUCAUUGCGCACGGCAGGAGAAUGCACCUUCUCUCCCAUGACAUACUGUCAGGCUUUUUAAGUCCUUAAUUCUUUUUUAGACCCACUUCUUAGGUUUGUGUUUGAGCAAAGUAUGCCUGCACGGCCAUCUUGUCCACACCAACGCAGAGGUCCUGAGAGGACUCCUGUACUCUCUAGCCCUGUGGAUGUAAAGACACUGGCAUUUCUGUUACCUUCUCUUCCCUUCGCAAGGGUUUUAACUUUGGAGUCUUCCAAAGAAAGUUUGGCCAAUGCCAGAUCUCCCAGAGUUGGGGUUUUUGUUACUAUUUUUUCUUCGUUUUAAAUCAAAAUUGUGUCUGGUUCCUAUUUACACUACUGAUUGUUCUAAUCCCAGAGAUGAACACGUUUCUCCCCUGUAUGAAAAGUAAGCACCCUUUAUGGUGAAACCUGUCUCUCCUGGUAGAAACUGAAGCCACUGAAAACCAACAGCUAGAAGCACAGGAGAAUCCCAGGUGAAGGUCUCCCUUGAGAGUCUUCGGAAGCCAUCCUUUGGGUUUGGAUCCUUUUCACAGGGCUACGCCAUUUUACUCAAGUCCGUUGCUCCGUUGUGCAGUCUCCACAAUACAAGCAAAAUGACAGCCAGUACAUAAGGGGUUAGCUUGACAAAGUAGACUUCCUUGUGUUAAUUUUUAAGUUCUUUUCUUAACUAUAUCUGUCUAUAGGCAGAUACAGAUAGGUCUAUGGAAAUGUGCUUGCCUGUAAAAUUUGCAUUUAUAAAUGUGUUGCGAUGGAUCACUUGGGCCUGUACACAUCCGAUUAGCGUGACCGCUUCCAUCAUAAAAACAAAUCUAAACAAAAUUUAUUAUUAUUAUAUAUAUACAUAAAGGACUGUGGGUUGUAUACAAACUAUUGCAAACACUUGUGCAAAUCUGUCUUGAUAUAAAGGAAAAGCAAACGCUGUGUAACAUUACUACUUGAAUGCCUCUGUGACUGAAUUUUUUUUUCAUUUUAAAUAUAAACUUUUUUGUGGAAAGUAUGCUCAAUGUUUUUUUCCCCCUUUCCCCCACUCCCUUGUAAAUACAUUUGGUUCUAUGUGACUUGGUUUGGAAAUAGUUAACUGGUACUGUAAUUUGCAUUAAAUAAAAAGUAGGUUAGCCUGGUAAUGAAAUUAAAAUCCCCAA